rnacentral:rRNA from 1 species
AUACGGAGGGGGCUAGCGUUGUUCGGAAUUACUGGGCGUAAAGCGCGCGUAGGCGGCUUAUCAAGUUAGGCGUGAAAGGCCUGGGCUCAACCCGGGAACUGCGCUUAAUACUGGUAGACUUGAGUCCGGGAGAGGGUGGCGGAAUUCCCAGUGUAGAGGUGAAAUUCGUAGAUAUUGGGAAGAACACCAGUGGCGAAGGCGGCCACCUGGCCCGGUACUGACGCUGAGGUGCGAAAGCGUGGGGAGCAAACAGGAUUAGAAACCCUGGUAGUCC